rnacentral:rRNA from 1 species
AUUGAACGCUAGCGGGAUGCCUUACACAUGCAAGUCGAACGGAGUGGCGAACGGGUGAGUAAUGUAUCGGAACGUGCCCAGUAGCGGGGGAUAACUUCGCGAAUGCGUAGCUAAUCCCGCAUUCUUUUUGAACGGCCGAUAUCGGAUUAGCUAGUUGGUGGGGUAACGGCUCACCAAGGCGACGAUCCGUAGCUGGUGUGAGAGGACGACCAGCCACACUGGGACUGAGACACGGCCCAGACUCCUACGGGAGACAGCAGUGGGGAAUGUUGGACAAUGGGGGAAGCCCUGAUCCAGCCAUCCCGCGUGUGCGAUGAAGGCCUUAGGGUUGUAAAGCACUUUUGGCAGGAAAGCGGUACCUGCAGAAUAAGCGCCGGCUAACUACGUGCCAGCAGCCGCGGUAAUUC